rnacentral:rRNA from 1 species
UACAGAGGGGGCAAGCGUUGUUCGGAUUCAUUGGGCGUAAAGGGUGCGUAGGUGGCGCUGUAAGUCGGGUGUGAAAUCCUGAGGCUUAACCUCGGAACUGCAUUCGAUACUGCGGCGCUUGAGGACUGGAGAGGAGACUGGAAUUCAUGGUGUAGCAGUGAAAUGCGUAGAGAUCAGGAGGAACACCCGUGGCGAAGGCGGCUCUCUGGGUCCGCCCUGACGCUGAGGCGCGAAAGCGUGGGGAGCGAACGGG